rnacentral:rRNA from 1 species
CAGUAGCGCGGGAAAACGGAGGGGGCUAGCGUUGUUCGGAAUUACUGGGCGUAAAGCGCACGUAGGCGGCUUGGUAAGUUAGAGGUGAAAGCCCGGAGCUCAACUCCGGAAUUGCCUUUAAGACUGCCGAGCUAGUAGGUGAGAGAGGUAAGUGGAAUUCCGAGUGUAGAGGUGAAAUUCGUAGAUAUUCGGAAGAACACCAGUGGCGAAGGCGGCUUACUGGCUCAUUCUAGACGCUGAGGUGCGAAAGCGUGGGGAGCAAACAGGAUUAGAUACCCCCGUAGUCCCUGUCUCUUAUACA